AGCAUCGAAAUGAGAGGCGAGGGCUCGGGGGAAUAUUUUUUUGAUGAUCUUAAUGACUAUUACCAAGAGAUGCUUCUUUCAUUUGCCACUGAAUGUGCAAAUUCCGUGGUUCCUGCGUACGUACCCAUUGUAGAGAAAAGGAAGGAUACAUCAUUCAAUGAAAGGCACAAGGCAUGGCAGCAAUUGCGAAGGGGCGCUAUCUAGAAUUCAACUUGGUGUAUGAUCGAGGUACAACAUUCGGACUGAAGACUGGAGGUCGAAUUGAGAGUAUUCUUGUUUCUCUCCCUUUAACGGCACGAUGGGAUCAUAAACCAGACGAGGGAAGUGAAGAGUGGAAACUGUUAGCUGCAUGCAUGAAUCCCAAGGAAUGGGUUUGAUGCUAACAGGUUGAGUUUGUUUUCUACUUUCAAAAUUUUCCC